rnacentral:lncRNA from 1 species
GACUAGCUCGAUACUGCAGUUGUGUGUCUAGUUCUUUGACCUGAGGUACAUCGACAGUUCACCUUGAGUGUGUUAUAGUUUGACUACAUCAUAACUUGAUCUGCUAGCUAUUCGAAACCCUGAAGUGUAUGUUGGCUGUAGCAUAUUCAUUGUAGGAACUAGAUCGCACCAAGAUGAGAUCUAUCAACCUCGGUAGAUGAGAGGAGUAGUCCUAUGAUAAUUAAAAGAUUGAGUCCUUAAGC